UGACAGAUUGAGAGCUCUUUCUUGAUUCUAUGGGGGGUGGUGCAUGGCCGUUCUUAGUUGGUGGAGAGAUUUGUCUGGUUAAUUCCGUUAACGAACGAGACCUUAACCUGCUAAAUAGUUACAUGUAAUUUCGAUUAUGUGGGCAGCUUCUUAGAGGGACUUUGUGUGCAUAAUGCAAGGAAGUUUGAGGCAAUAACAGGUCUGUGAUGCCCUUAGAUGUUCUGAACCGCACGCGUGUUACACUGAUGCAUUCAACGAGCUAUUAACCUUGGCCGAGAGGCCUGGGAAAUCUUGGAACGUGCAUCGUGAUAGGGAUUGAUUAUUGUAAUUUUUAAUCAUGAACGAGGAAUUCCUAGUAAACGCAGAUCAUCAA
rnacentral:rRNA from 1 species